rnacentral:rRNA from 4 species
UUAAGCGACUAAGCGUACACGGUGGAUGCCCUGGCAGUCAGAGGCGAUGAAGGACGUGCUAAUCUGCGAUAAGCGUCGGUAAGGUGAUAUGAACCGUUAUAACCGGCGAUUUCCGAAUGGGGAAACCCAGUGUGUUUCGACACACUAUCAUUAACUGAAUCCAUAGGUUAAUGAGGCGAACCGGGGGAACUGAAACAUCUAAGUACCCCGAGGAAAAGAAAUCAACCGAGAUUCCCCCAGUAGCGGCGAGCGAACGGGGAGCAGCCCAGAGCCUGAAUCAGUGUGUGUGUUAGUGGAAGCGUCUGGAAAGGCGCGCGAUACAGGGUGACAGCCCCGUACACAAAAAUGCACAUGCUGUGAGCUCGAUGAGUAGGGCGGGACACGUGGUAUCCUGUCUGAAUAUGGGGGGACCAUCCUCCAAGGCUAAAUACUCCUGACUGACCGAUAGUGAACCAGUACCGUGAGGGAAAGGCGAAAAGAACCCCGGCGAGGGGAGUGAAAAAGAACCUGAAACCGUGUACGUACAAGCAGUGGGAGCCUCUUUAUGGGGUGACUGCGUACCUUUUGUAUAAUGGGUCAGCGACUUAUAUUCUGUAGCAAGGUUAACCGAAUAGGGGAGCCGAAGGGAAACCGAGUCUUAACUGGGCGUUAAGUUGCAGGGUAUAGACCCGAAACCCGGUGAUCUAGCCAUGGGCAGGUUGAAGGUUGGGUAACACUAACUGGAGGACCGAACCGACUAAUGUUGAAAAAUUAGCGGAUGACUUGUGGCUGGGGGUGAAAGGCCAAUCAAACCGGGAGAUAGCUGGUUCUCCCCGAAAGCUAUUUAGGUAGCGCCUCGUGAAUUCAUCUCCGGGGGUAGAGCACUGUUUCGGCAAGGGGGUCAUCCCGACUUACCAACCCGAUGCAAACUGCGAAUACCGGAGAAUGUUAUCACGGGAGACACACGGCGGGUGCUAACGUCCGUCGUGAAGAGGGAAACAACCCAGACCGCCAGCUAAGGUCCCAAAGUCAUGGUUAAGUGGGAAACGAUGUGGGAAGGCCCAGACAGCCAGGAUGUUGGCUUAGAAGCAGCCAUCAUUUAAAGAAAGCGUAAUAGCUCACUGGUCGAGUCGGCCUGCGCGGAAGAUGUAACGGGGCUAAACCAUGCACCGAAGCUGCGGCAGCGACGCUUAUGCGUUGUUGGGUAGGGGAGCGUUCUGUAAGCCUGUGAAGGUGUGCUGUGAGGCAUGCUGGAGGUAUCAGAAGUGCGAAUGCUGACAUAAGUAACGAUAAAGCGGGUGAAAAGCCCGCUCGCCGGAAGACCAAGGGUUCCUGUCCAACGUUAAUCGGGGCAGGGUGAGUCGACCCCUAAGGCGAGGCCGAAAGGCGUAGUCGAUGGGAAACAGGUUAAUAUUCCUGUACUUGGUGUUACUGCGAAGGGGGGACGGAGAAGGCUAUGUUGGCCGGGCGACGGUUGUCCCGGUUUAAGCGUGUAGGCUGAUUUUCCAGGCAAAUCCGGAAAAUCAAGGCUGAGGCGUGAUGACGAGGCACUACGGUGCUGAAGCAACAAAUGCCCUGCUUCCAGGAAAAGCCUCUAAGCAUCAGGUAACAUCAAAUCGUACCCCAAACCGACACAGGUGGUCAGGUAGAGAAUACCAAGGCGCUUGAGAGAACUCGGGUGAAGGAACUAGGCAAAAUGGUGCCGUAACUUCGGGAGAAGGCACGCUGAUAUGUAGGUGAAGUCCCUCGCGGAUGGAGCUGAAAUCAGUCGAAGAUACCAGCUGGCUGCAACUGUUUAUUAAAAACACAGCACUGUGCAAACACGAAAGUGGACGUAUACGGUGUGACGCCUGCCCGGUGCCGGAAGGUUAAUUGAUGGGGUCAGCGCAAGCGAAGCUCUUGAUCGAAGCCCCGGUAAACGGCGGCCGUAACUAUAACGGUCCUAAGGUAGCGAAAUUCCUUGUCGGGUAAGUUCCGACCUGCACGAAUGGCGUAAUGAUGGCCAGGCUGUCUCCACCCGAGACUCAGUGAAAUUGAACUCGCUGUGAAGAUGCAGUGUACCCGCGGCAAGACGGAAAGACCCCGUGAACCUUUACUAUAGCUUGACACUGAACAUUGAGCCUUGAUGUGUAGGAUAGGUGGGAGGCUUAGAAGUGUGGACGCCAGUCUGCAUGGAGCCGGCCUUGAAAUACCACCCUUUAAUGUUUGAUGUUCUAACGUGGACCCGUAAUCCGGGUUGCGGACAGUGUCUGGUGGGUAGUUUGACUGGGGCGGUCUCCUCCUAAAGAGUAACGGAGGAGCACGAAGGUUGGCUAAUCCUGGUCGGACAUCAGGAGGUUAGUGCAAUGGCAUAAGCCAGCUUGACUGCGAGCGUGACGGCGCGAGCAGGUGCGAAAGCAGGUCAUAGUGAUCCGGUGGUUCUGAAUGGAAGGGCCAUCGCUCAACGGAUAAAAGGUACUCCGGGGAUAACAGGCUGAUACCGCCCAAGAGUUCAUAUCGACGGCGGUGUUUGGCACCUCGAUGUCGGCUCAUCACAUCCUGGGGCUGAAGUAGGUCCCAAGGGUAUGGCUGUUCGCCAUUUAAAGUGGUACGCGAGCUGGGUUUAGAACGUCGUGAGACAGUUCGGUCCCUAUCUGCCGUGGGCGCUGGAGAACUGAGGGGGGCUGCUCCUAGUACGAGAGGACCGGAGUGGACGCAUCACUGGUGUUCGGGUUGUCAUGCCAAUGGCACUGCCCGGUAGCUAAAUGCGGAAGAGAUAAGUGCUGAAAGCAUCUAAGCACGAAACUUGCCCCGAGAUGAGUUCUCCCUGACUCCUUGAGAGUCCUGAAGGAACGUUGAAGACGACGACGUUGAUAGGCCGGGUGUGUAAGCGCAGCGAUGCGUUGAGCUAACCGGUACUAAUGAACCGUGAGGCUUAACCUU